GGGCCAGCUUAGCCUAGCGGUUACUUCGACUCUACAUUUGUCAGACUCUCUAAUUGCUUAACGGCAGUUUGAUACCCCGCAGGCGCUGUCUGGUCUUUUU